rnacentral:misc_RNA from 1 species
GUAGGUGAACCUGCGGAAGGAUCAUUAAUGAGUUGUCAUGGGGUUCGAUGCUGGCAGCCAGUUUUUGGAUGCAUGUGCUGGCCCUAACAAUCAUCUUCUUCCAAACACCUGUGCACAUUUUUGAGGGAGUCUUGAGUUGGUUGCCGCUCUUGGGUGAUUUUCUCACAUUCCCUUAAAUCAUUAUACGCUAUUAACAAUGUUGAACGUGCUCUGUGCCGCAAGGCCAUUAAUAUAAUACAACUUUUAACAACGGAUCUCUUGGCUCUC